GAUGAACGCUGGCGGCGUGCCUAAUACAUGCAAGUCGAGCGAACAGACGAGGAGCUUGCUCCUCUGACGUUAGCGGCGGACGGGUGAGUAACACGUGGAUAACCUACCUAUAAGACUGGGAUAACUUCGGGAAACCGGAGCUAAUACCGGAUAAUAUGUUGAAUCGCAUGGUUCAACAGUGAAAGACGGUCUUGCUGUCACUUAUAGAUGGAUCCGCGCCGCAUUAGCUAGUUGGUAAGGUAACGGCUUACCAAGGCAACGAUGCGUAGCCGACCUGAGAGGGUGAUCGGCCACACUGGAACUGAGACACGGUCCAGACUCCUACGGGAGGCAGCAGUAGGGAAUCUUCCGCAAUGGGCGAAAGCCUGACGGAGCAACGCCGCGUGAGUGAAGAAGGUCUUCGGAUCGUAAAACUCUGUUAUUAGGGAAGAACAAAUGUGUAAGUAACUAUGCACGUCUUGACGGUACCUAAGCAGAAAGCCACGGCUACUACGUG
rnacentral:rRNA from 1 species